rfam:Brassica oleracea var. oleracea cultivar TO1000 chromosome C1, whole genome shotgun sequence
AGAAUAUAAGAACUCGUAUCUUAAUUGUUAACUAAAAAAAGUAAGAACCGGCUCUUAAAUAAGAGUUUUAAAAGCCGAUUCUUAGUUUUUUUAGUUAAAAGUUAAGAGACGGGUUCUUACAUUCC